GCCCUGUGGUGUAGUGGUUUGAGAAUUGCAUUAUGACUCAAGAGACCAGGGUUUGAUUCCCUGCUUGGGCA